rnacentral:misc_RNA from 1 species
GAAAGAAGGUGCUGCCAUAUGGAGAGUUAGAGACAUGGCCAAAAACAGUAGGACCUGAGUCCUGACACAGGCCUGGUGUUUCCAGAGUCGGUGAAUGAAUAACCGAAAAGCAUAGAUCUUCUUGAAUGAACGUGAAAGGGGGAGGAUGAAUAUAGCAAUAAGCGGGACUUGGGACACAGGAAUAUGUAAAAGCAGCCAUUAGAGAAGGCUUUCCAGUUUUGCAGCUCCUUCCUCUUCUCUAUUUGCAAUGACAGAAAUGUACUCUCCUGAAAGUUGCCAAAUGCACUUGAAACAACAUAUUACUGAGAACUUUCAUUGAUUCUCCUAUGCCUAUUUCAACCCCAGGAAUGCGUUCGAGACGUCUAACAACGUUGGGAUAGCCAAAAUUUCGACCCAAUUCUGAGGCUUUUUC